GUAUUGAUGAAAUUAUUUGAGAGCAGGAGGAGGAAAUAAAGAAAUCAUAAUCCUCAUCUUUUCAUCGAUUGAGCUAUGAUCAAUUUAGAGGACUAAAUUUUCUUUUAAGGGGGGGAGAGUGUAAUAUCCCUCACUUUUGAAAAUUUAUUAAUAAGAAUUUAUAUGUAAAUUGGAGGACCUAUAUGUAAAUAUAGAAAUUUCAAGGACUAAACUGUUAAGU
rnacentral:lncRNA from 1 species